CCUACGGGAGGCUGCAGUGGGGAAUAUUGCACAAUGGGGGAAACCCUGAUGCAGCGACGCCGCGUGAGUGAAGAAGUAUUUCGGUACGUAAAGCUCUAUCAGCAGGGAAGAAAAUGACGGUACCUGACUAAGAAGCCCCGUAUAACUACGUGCCAGCAGCCGCGGUAAUACGGAGGGGGCAAGCGUUAUCCGGAUUUACUGGGGGUAAAGGGAGCGUAGACGGCAGCGCAAGUCUGGAGUGAAAUCCCAUGGCUUAACCAUGGAACUGCUGUGGAAACUGUGCAGCUAGAGUGCAGGAGAGGUAAGCGGAAUGCCUAGUGUAGCGGUGAAAUGCGUAGAUAUUAGGAGGAACACCAGUGGCGAAGGCGGCUUACUGGACUGUAACUGACGUUGAGGCUCGAAAGCGUGGGGAGCAAACAGGAUUAGAUACCCGAGUAGUC
rnacentral:rRNA from 1 species